UUGCGGCCAUAUCAUGUUGAAACAUCGGUUCUCGUACGAUCACCAAAGUUAAGCAACAUCGAGCCUAGUCAGUAUCUAGAUGGGUGACCACUUGAGAAAGAAUACCUGGUGCUGUAAG